GGCGCCGUGGCUUAGUUGGUUAAAGCACCUCUCUAGUAAACAGGAGAUCACUAGUUAGAAUUUUGUCGGUGCCC
rnacentral:tRNA from 1 species